rnacentral:rRNA from 1 species
GACGGAGGGUGCUAGCGUUGUUCGGAAUGACUGGGCGUAAAGGGCGCGUAGGCGGCUCGUGAAGUCGGGGGUGAAAGCCCGGGGCUCAACCCCGGAACGGCAUCCGAUACUGGCGGGCUUGAGACCGGGAGAGGAGGGUGGAAUACCCAGUGUAGAGGUGAAAUUCGUAGAUAUUGGGUGGAACACCGGUGGCGAAAGCGGCUCUCUGGCCCGGAUCUGACGCUGAGGCGCGAAAGCGUGGGGAGCAAACAGG